rnacentral:rRNA from 1 species
CACGUAGGGUGCGAGCGUUGUCCGGAAUUAUUGGGCGUAAAGAGCUUGUAGGCGGUCUGUCGCGUCUGCUGUGAAAACCCGAGGCUCAACCUCGGGCCUGCAGUGGGUACGGGCAGACUAGAGUGCGGUAGGGGAGAUUGGAAUUCCUGGUGUAGCGGUGGAAUGCGCAGAUAUCAGGAGGAACACCGAUGGCGAAGGCAGAUCUCUGGGCCGUAACUGACGCUGAGGAGCGAAAGCGUGGGGAGCAAACAGG